GUGGGGUCGUGGUUCCUGCGGUCCUGGACUUGGCCCCAGACAGCCGGGUAACAAAUGACUGCCCCCUCGAGCCCACCGCCACCUCCAGGACUAUGCUCCUACUCGUGUCCCUUGAGCCACCCGGGCCCCAGUGACCGUUAGGCCGUGGCCCUCACCGAGCUUUUCUUCCCAGCAGGGUCGUGGCCAGGACGCCGGCCGGGACCAUCUGCACAGGCGCUCGACAGCUCCAGGACGCUGCGGCCAAGCAGAAAGUUGAACAGAACGCGGCUCCCAGCCACACCAAGUUCAGCAUUUACCCUCCCAUUCCAGGAGAGGAGAGCUCUCUGAGGUGGGCAGGAAAGAAAUUUGAGGAGAUCCCAAUCGCACACAUUAAAGCAUCCCACAACAACACACAGAUCCAGGUAGUCUCUGCUAGUAAUGAGCCCCUUGCCUUUGCUUCCUGUGGCACAGAGGGAUUUCGGAAUGCCAAGAAGGGCACAGGCAUCGCAGCACAGACAGCAGGCAUAGCCGCAGCGGCGAGAGCUAAACAAAAGGGCGUGAUCCACAUCCGAGUUGUGGUGAAAGGCCUGGGGCCAGGACGCUUGUCUGCCAUGCACGGACUGAUCAUGGGCGGCCUGGAAGUGAUCUCAAUCACAGACAACACCCCAAUCCCACACAAUGGAUGUCGUCCCAGGAAGGCUCGGAAGCUGUGAUGGGAAGGAAGCCUGCACUUGGUCCUGACCUCAAGCCUCAGCUCCAGUGGGACCUUGUAAAAUGCUCCCUGUCAGAGCUCUCCAGAAUAUGCUUGUUGGAGAUCCUUCAGGCAGUAAGGGAGAGUUUUGCCUCCUUACACAGUGGCCUUUGCUUGCACCUCCAGCUGGAGAUGGGUGUGCCCCAGAAGUAAGCUUUGCAUCUCACAAGAGGGGAGCUACAGGGG
rnacentral:sRNA from 1 species